UCAGCCUGGGUGCCAUGGAGCUAGCAUGUCCAUGAGCACUGGUGAAUCUGGAAACAUGUAACAGCAGGAACCACAUGAGACUCUCCCGUCCUGCUGCUGGCCGUCUGGAUGUUUCCCCACAGAGGUCCCCGGAUCUGCGCUUCACUCCGGCAGACUCAUCUCGUUGCACGUGGUCUGUCUGAGCUUUCUCAUCUGAGCAGAACAUCUCGGCCCGCAUCCUCCCGAGGUCGCCUCCACGUCGAGCAGGAUCAAGAGAGAACGUGUUUUGUCUGCCGAGUGCAACAUCUCGCAUUCCUCCGGGCCGACACGUACGGCUUCGGCGACAAACACGCAAACAAACAAAAAAAACAAAAACAUUCAAACGUUUGCAAAGGAAAAAGGAAAAAGAGAGGUUCUUUCCCCUCCUCUUCUGCCUCUGCACCAAAAACACCUGCAGCUCCUCCGCCGGACACAUGGUGGCACUACGUACUUAGAGGAGACCUGCAGCUCCCGGGUUCACCCUCCAUCCUGCCUCCAACAUGGAGUCCCACCAAGUGGAACAGAGAAAUAAGAAACUGGGCCUUCACAGCGCCGGAACGACAACAUAAAACAAGACUGACACCCUCACACUGAAACCCAGUAGCUCAACGCACAACGAGAAGAAGAAGAAGAAGAAGAAGAAGAGGAGGAGGAAGCCGGCACCGUCUCGUCGCGGGCCGACGAAAAUUAACAGCAAAUGUUUUUCAAGUAUGUGAAUCGGUGUAAAUAGAGCAGUUUUUUAAGAGGCUUUUCAGAGGCUGCGUGUGAGCAAAUAUGAUUCCAUUAAACAGGAUAUGAGCUCUCUCUCUCUCUCUCUCUCUCUCUCUCUCUCUCUCUCUCUCUCUCUCUCUCUCUCUCUAUCUGUCGUUUUCCUUUUUUUUAUUCUGAUGGCUGUUAAUCUAGAUUAAGGUUUGUCUGCGUAUAGACGUUGAGGGGAAAAAAAAGGAUCGAAAAGGCAAAUUAAAACACACACACACACACACACACACACACCAGUCAUCAAAUCUCAUUCAACCAGGGUCACAAAAAUAGAGGGAAGGAAUUACUGGCUCUUUUAUUCAGACGCUUAUUAUCUCCUUUAAUUAAAUUACUCCCCCAAAUUAUUUCUCUGUUUAAAAUUGUAAUCUAUAAUAAAGGGAAUAAUAAUAACUUUAAAUAUAUUUGUUUUAAAUGAGGAGAGAGAUUUGCCUGCAUGGGAUGAACAUCAAUCUGUUUUCUUGUUUGGUUUUUUUUUGUUUUUUUUUUUGAAAGGCACUGGUAGAUUUACAUUUGUUUAAUUAUAGGCGCUCGCGAUCGUCUCUAUCUGAACUGCAGAGUGCGGAAAGAGAGAGAGAGAGGAGAGAAUUGUGGGGGCCCUCAAUUAAAUCUGAUGUUAAUUAAA